GAUGAACGCUGGCGGCGUGCCUAAUACAUGCCAGUCGAGCGAACAGACGAGGAGCUUGCUCCUCUGACGUUAGCGGCGGACGGGUGAGUAACACGUGGAUAACCUACCUAUAAGACUGGGAUAACUUCGGGAAACCGGAGCUAAUACCGGAUAAUAUAUUGAACCGCAUGGUUCAAUAGUGAAAGACGGUUUUGCUGUCACUUAUAGAUGGAUCCGCGCCGCAUUAGCUAGUUGGUAAGGUAACGGCUUACCAAGGCAACGAUGCGUAGCCGACCUGAGAGGGUGAUCGGCCACACUGGAACUGAGACACGGUCCAGACUCCUACGGGAGGCAGCAGUAGGGAAUCUUCCGCAAUGGGCGAAAGCCUGACGGAGCAACGCCGCGUGAGUGAUGAAGGUCUUCGGAUCGUAAAACUCUGUUAUUAGGGAAGAACAAAUGUGUAAGUAACUAUGCACGUCUUGACGGUACCCAAUCAGAAAGCCACGGCUAACUACGUG
rnacentral:rRNA from 1 species